CGACCUGCACACCCCCAUCUGCCGGUGUGACAAAAUGUACAGCGGUGUGCGCUGUGAACAUGUUAUUUUGGACACCCAACAAUUGUCUAGUCCUGAAGAAGUCAUUGGAAUUAGCUGUGGUGUAGUUUUAUUACUGGGAAUCAUCGUCGGACUGAUGUACUGCUGUUUAAAGAAAAGGUGUCGGAAGUCAUCACCACCCUACAAGAACU